UUGGGAGAUGUAUUCCUGACUCUCCCCGGAGCGGAGUGAACGCGGCGGGGAAGGCGGAGCCGGUGCGAAGGAGCGUCUGGGCGCUGCGGCUCUGCCUGGCUCGCGCGGGGGCCGUUGGAGCCUCUCCGCGGGCCGGGAGAAGGGUGUGUGACUGAGAUCAGGGCUCUUAUCAUCCUGAGUGUGGUCCUGUUCUGCCAGGUGCUGAAGACACCCCAGCUGAGAUCUGGGCCCUGCUUUGCCAAGCACUGAAGAGACCCCGGGUGAGAUCAGACCCCACUGUUGUGCCAGGCUACAGAAUAACGUCCACAUUUCGCCCCAAAUCAUCCCUUCCUCCCAGCGGGAAGGCAAUGGCUGCAGUGGAGCUGGCUCAGGCCUUCCAUUCUCCUGUUCAAGAGACAUCCCCAGGGCUCCCUCUGCCUGUGUGACUGGCCAGCAGGGGGCGGUGAUAACUUUCUAUCCACUUAUCAGGCACUGUUAGGUAACUGUGUUGCUGGGUGGGGGUAGAGGUGGGGCUGUGUGGGGAGAUUGCAGCUGAAGGGGGAUUGUGGUAGGGGGAGGUGUUUGGAUGGCUGGACAGGGGGUAUCCUAGUCAGGUUGGUGGGUUCUGGUGGUUUGGGGUUUUGGGGAGGUGGUUCUGAUGUUCCCAGCCCUGAGGCUAUGGGUCCUGAAGGUGGGUGUCGCUGGGAUCCUGUAGGCUGCAGAACAGCAGGGUUGGGUGUCUCUUGGGGAGGCAGGACAGGAGGUUAGAGGGAGACUGGUGCUGUGCCAGGGGCUCUGUUUGGGCUUCCCCGGCUGGCUUCUGGGAUCGUUGCCAUGCCCAGUGCACAGAGCUGGGGGAGGGGAUCCGUGGCACUAGGUCAGCAGUUGUCAGGGAAGCAGAGUGAAGGGUCCCACUGAAAAGCAUCAGGGGGUCCUGUUGGGUGGAGGAGGGGGUCCCAGA